rnacentral:rRNA from 1 species
GACGAACGCUGGCGGCGUGCUUAACACAUGCAAGUCGAACGGAAAGGCCCUGCUUUUGUGGGGUGCUCGAGUGGCGAACGGGUGAGUAACACGUGAGUAACCUGCCCUUGACUUUGGGAUAACUUCAGGAAACUGGGGCUAAUACCGGAUAGGAGCUCCUGCUGCAUGGUGGGGGUUGGAAAGUUUCGGCGGUUGGGGAUGGACUCGCGGCUUAUCAGCUUGUUGGGGGGGUAGUGGCUUACCAAGGCUUUGACGGGUAGCCGGCCUGGGAGGGUGACCGGCCCCAUUGGGCCUGGGAUACGGCCCAGACUCCUACGGGGGGCAGCAGUGGGGAAUAUUGCACAAUGGGCGGAAGCCGGAUGCAGCAACCCCGCGUGCGGGAUGACGGCCUUCGGGUUGUAACCCGCUUUCGCCUGUGACGAAGCGGGAGUGGCGGGAAUGGGUAAAGAAGCACCGGCCAAUUCCGU